rnacentral:lncRNA from 1 species
AUUUUCUCAAGCAACAUUUUUUUAUUGUUUUAUAUUCAUGUAAUUAAAAAAAAAAAACGUGGGAUUUCUCUUAGUUUUUAUGUACAAGCAAAAACAAAUGGUGGAGAAAAAACAAUUGAACACAAAGAAUCCAUCCCUGUACAAUAAAGUCAAUACAUUGAGAAGAUCGAAGACAAGCCUUGUGGAAUAAAACACCACCAGCUUGUGUCCCAAAUGGCACCCUAAUGCCCUACAUAGUGCACUACAAAGGAAGUAGAGUGCCAUUUGGGAAAUAAACAGGUAGUUAGCACAGCAGAAGCUGACGGAACAGCACAGGCAUGUACUAAUAGGUAGGUAGCGAGGGGGAGGAUAAUAAGAUAAUGAAAAAAUAUUAAAUCACCUUUUUCCUUAUUUGGUGUAAGCAUACAGCUCACCCACAUACAUCAUACACAUACAUAAUCAUUCUCACACACACACACACACAAACACAAGCGCACACAAACUUCCAACCCCUCCCUUUCACUGACAGUGCAACAUAAAAACAAUGUUAAAACAGCAUGCAGGGUAAUGGUCUCUUUACAACGGUGGUCCAGUGUGCAACAAUAACACCCCCCCCACCUCAUAUGGCUACCUACAACACUGUUACUCAUUCACAAUACUUCAAUCCAUUCCUUACAUCCUUAAAACCUUCCACACCUCUCUCACUCAAGUGUUUCCCCUACCAGGCAGGGCAGGCCUGAAAUAAUUUGGCUUCAAUUGGUUUCAAUUGACUACUGUUGUGUUUAAAGUGAACCACCCCCUUGAUAUUGACUUGGUAGGCCUUGAUUUGGCGCCCCACCUUGAGAAAACACAUCUAGGGGAUAAACACUGCAUCAUCAUCAUUUACACCUAAACUAGGAGCCUUUGCUGUAUGCAGUCCAAGUCCUGAACUACAAAUGUCUUACUCACACCUCUCUCUAUUCAAGGACAGCCUGGUCCCAGAUCUGUCUAUGCUUUAACUAACUCCUAUGGCUGUAUAGUUAGAGGAGUUGGCUAUAGCAAAUGCAUCAUUCUCACAAAACUGUCCCAAAAAAAUGGUGUAAUUUUUCACAAAAUAUCCUUUUGAAUCACUGAGUUUAGGAUAUGUACUUAUCUAUUUCAUAAUUAUGUUUUUUGAUCAGAUAUUAUGCAUUUUACUAACAGUUUCACAAAGUUCUCAUUACC